rnacentral:lncRNA from 1 species
CUCUCUUUCUCCUAUUAAAUUUCACCCGUGAAGGGGUCCGCGCUUUGCAACGGAUAGAAAUUAUAGUAAUAGUUAAUAAUAAAAAAAUAUUAAAUAUCCUCUUGUGUAUCUUACUUGAUAUAUCCAUCAAACAUCAUGGCGGAAAGGGAAAGUGAGCGCACAUUAGUGAGAGAGAGGGAGGGAACGAGGGAAGGAGGCGAUGGUGUAUAGCAAAAAAUGAGAGAUAGAAAAUUGAUGAAUAGAUUGGAGAUAAAAAAUUAAAAGUCUGGUGGAGGGAAGAAAAAUGACCAUAAUGAAUAAUUGGAGAUAGAGAGGUUAGGAUUGUAAGAUGGUAGUGAGAUCAUUUAAACAUACUAAUUGAAAGUUUGGUAGGAAAAUCGUUUGCAUUAAUUAAAAGUAUGGUGGAGGAAAUGGAAAGGGUCAUACUGAAUAAUUAUAGAUUGUAGAUAGAAACGAUAUAAUGGCAGAUAAUAGUGGGACCAUUUAAAUAUAUUAAUUAAAAGUUUUGUUAGUGGAACCGUUAAAAUGUACAUUAAAAGUUUAGUGAGGGGAAGAAGAAGAGUCACAUUUUAGUAAGGGUGAAGGAAAACUUGCUAUGUGGCAACAAAUAUUAGGAAUUCAUGUAAGUUAUUAAUUGAAAGUUUCGUUAGUGAAACCGUUAAAAUGUACAUUGAAAGUUUAGUGAGUGAAAGAAAAAAAGUCACAUUCUAGUGAGGAUGAAGGAAAACUUGCCAUGUGACAACAAACAUUGAGAAUUCAUAUAGAUUAAUAGAUAAUAGAUAAUAGAUUAAUAGAUUAGUCGGUUCAUUC